rnacentral:misc_RNA from 1 species
GAUGAAGAACGCAGCGAAAUGCGAUAAGUAAUGUGAAUUGCAGAAUUCAGUGAAUCAUCGAAUCUUUGAACGCACCUUGCGCUCCCUGGUAUUCCGGGGAGCACGCCCGUUUGAGUGUCAUGGUAUUCUCAACCUUCAUAACUUUUUGUGACUGAAGGCUUGGAUGUGGAGGUCGUGCUGGCUCUCGCGAGUCAGCUCCUCUGAAAUGCAUUAGCGUGAACGUUUACGGAUCGCUAUCAGUGUGAUAAUUAUCUGCGCUGUUAGUGUUGAAGUAUGUCUAGUGUCGCGCUUCUAACCGUCCUUCAGUUGGACAACUUAUCUGACAUCUGGCCUCAAAUCGGGCGGGACUACCCGCUGAACUUAAGCAUAUCAAUAAGCGGAGGA